rnacentral:rRNA from 1 species
CCCUUGGGGAUUUUCCGCAAUGGGCGAAAGCCUGACGGAGCAACGCCGCGUGAGGGAUGAAGGCCUCUGGGCUGUAAACCUCUUUUCUCAAGGAAGAAGAUCUGACGGUACUUGAGGAAUAAGCCACGGCUAAUUCCGUGCCAGCAGCCGCGGUAAUACGGGAGUGGCAAGCGUUAUCCGGAAUUAUUGGGCGUAAAGCGUCCGCAGGCGGUUCUGUAAGUCUGCCGUUAAAGCGUGGAGCUUAGCUCCAUUUCGGCGGUGGAAACUGCAGGACUUGAGUGUGGUAGGGGCAGAGGGAAUUCCCGGUGUAGCGGUGAAAUGCGUAGAUAUCGGGAAGAACACCAGUGGCGAAGGCGCUCUGCUGGGCCAUAACUGACGCUCAUGGACGAAAGCCAGGGGAGCGAAAGGGAUUAGAUACCCCUGUAGUC